rnacentral:tRNA from 1 species
GGGGAUGUAGCUCAGCCGGGAGAGCGCCUGCUUUGCAAGCAGGAGGUCACGGGUUCGAAUCCCGUCAUCUCCA